AAAGAUCGCAAGGAAGGGAUAUUUUUGAAAAGGGACAUUUUUUUGUACCUUAUUAUUUCUCGAGAGACGAAGUUUCAAGUUUAUCUUUAUUUGGUGAAUAUUCACAAAACAAGCCUCAAUUCAUCACAGCAACAAAGAUAUCUUCCUAAAGGCUAAAUAUCAGAAGAUCGAUAUCAGAUCCUUUUUCCAAUGACCAGUUUUUGCAAUCUUAAAUCACCGACUCUCAGGCGAUGCUCAAAGCUGAACAAAGCUCCUAUAAAACAU
rnacentral:misc_RNA from 1 species